AUUGAACGCUAGCGGGAUGCUUUACACAUGCAAGUCGAACGAGUGGCGGACGGGUGAGUAAUAUAUCGGAACGUGCCCAAUAGCGGGGGAUAACUACUCGAAAGGGUAGCUAAUACCGCAUACUAUUGGAGCUGCCGAUAUCGGAUUAGCUAGUUGGUGGGGUAACGGCUCACCAGGGCCACGAUCCAUAGCUGGUGUGAGAGGAGGACCAGCCACACUGGGACUGAGACACGGCCCAGACUCCUACGGGAGGCAGCAGUGGGGAAUUUUGGACAAUGGGGGAAAGCCUGAUCCAGCCAUCCCGCGUGUAUGAGAAGGCCUUCGGGUUGUAAAGUACUUUUGGCAGGGAGGCGUUAUCUGCAGAAGAAGCACCGGCUAACUACGUGCCAGCAGCCGCGGUAAUAC
rnacentral:rRNA from 1 species